rnacentral:lncRNA from 1 species
CCUGAAUUAUUAAGGACUGAACAGCACACAACAUUAUACAUUAACAUUACUUUAAUUAAUAUCAAAACUAAUUAAACAUUACACAUUGUUCCUAUUCUUAUUACUUCAUCCCCAAAUUUAAUCAAUAUAAUAUCUCCCUCUCACCCAACCUGAUGAGAAUCUCCCAAGGAUGAUGCACUCUAAGGUGGUGAGGGGAUAAGCUUUGCAUCCUAGAGACUGUGAAAUCUCAAAGAUCAAAGGAUGUGGAUUGAAUAGCACACAAAGGUUGCGGAAAUUCCUUUGAUUCACCAGUGGAUCGAUUCUCUAGAUAUUACACACCAAAGAAAUCGACAGCUUGCUGGAUAUGACACACCAACAAGGAAUGGAUAGAGAGAUGGAUUGAGAGACGCCACAAAGAUCUGUGAAAGGAUCUAUGAUAAGUCUAGACCAGCCAUGAACAUAGAUAUGACACACCAUGAACAUGGAGUUCCAAAAAUUACAAGACAUCACAUCUUGAAAGAGAGAAACUUCUCUAAUUUUCACUGAAAAACAAACUUAUUCUUAUUCAUGAUUUUUGGGCUCUUUUUAUAGAGAAAUACAAGUAAUUUUCGUCCAUAAAAGUAUCCUAACAUGCAACACAACUUGGGAGUUGAAAUUCAAACUCUAUUCUGCAUGCAAGAGAGAGAAACACACUUAAAUAAAUGCUAUUUUGAAUCUAGACGAAAAUCAGUCUUCUUUUGAUAUUCUUGGGCUGGAUCCACUUUUCUGGGCUUCUCUGAUGUACCAAGAUUGUAGAACAAUUGGGCUUGUGGCUUAAUUCCAUCUGGGCUGGUCGGAAUUGUUUAUUGAAUGCACAUAGGUUCAAAUUCGCGUAAACUGAAGAUCACCUGUUUUGUAAAUUGCGUAACUCCUUCAUCUGAAAUCCGUUUAAUCUGAUUCUUCUUCGAGGAGCUCCGUAAUUGAGUUGAUCACAUUCUCCAAGUGAUUUCAUGCCUAGAAGCCUCGUAGUUUCGAAGAUAGGAGUCAAACAAUGAACGUACAUCUUUAAUGCUUUCCAUGAUCAUAUCAUUCCCUCCCUCUUAAAAAAAAGAUUUGCCCACAAAUCUGGUUCGUAUAAAAGAAGAGUAUCCAGUAGCACUUUCUCUCUGACGAAAUAAUUAUAAAAAGAGAAGGAAAGAAACAAAAUAAAAAGAAAUAGAGAAUGAAAGACGAGAAGAUGAUUGAAAGAAGAUGAAUAGGUGAGAAAAUGAUAGAAAUAUGGAAUAAUAAAACCAGACUUAGAGUGUUGCUCUGAUACCAAAUAAUGUAAACCUCCCAAGGAUGAUGCACUCUAAGGUGGUGAGGGGAUAAGCUUUGCAUCCUAGAGACUGUGAAAUCUCAAAGAUCAAAGGAUGUGGAUUGAAUAGCACACAAAGGUUGCGGAAAUUCCUUUGAUUCACCAGUGGAUCGAUUCUCUAGAUAUUACACACCAAAGAAAUCGACAGCUUGCUGGAUAUGACACACCAACAAGGAAUGGAUAGAGAGAUGGAUUGAGAGACGCCACAAAGAUCUGUGAAAGGAUCUAUGAUAAGUCUAGACCAGCCAUGAACAUAGAUAUGACACACCAUGAACAUGGAGUUCCAAAAAUUACAAGACAUCACAUCUUGAAAGAGAGAAACUUCUCUAAUUUUCACUGAAAAACAAACUUAUUAUUAUUCAUGAUUUUUGGGCUCUUUUUAUAGAGAAAUACAAGUAAUUUUCGUCCAUAAAAGUAUCCUAACAUGCAGCACAACUUGGGAGUUGAAAUUCAAACUCUAUUCUGCAUGCAAGAGAGAGAAACACACUUAAAUAAAUGCUAUUUUGAAUCUAGACGAAAAUCAGUCUUCUUUUGAUAUUCUUGGGCUGGAUCCACUUUUCUGGGCUUCUCUGAUGUACCAAGAUUGUAGAACAAUUGGGCUUGUGGCUUAAUUCCAUCUGGGCUGGUCGGAAUUGUUUAUUGAAUGCACAUAGGUUCAAAUUCGCGUAAACUGAAGAUCACCUGUUUUGUAAAUUGCGUAACUCCUUCAUCUGAAAUCCGUUUAAUCUGAUUCUUCUUCGAGGAGCUCCGUAAUUGAGUUGAGCACAUUCUCCAAGUGAUUUCAUGCGUAGAAGCCUCGUAGUUUCGAAGAUAGGAGUCAAACAAUGAACGUACAUCUUUAAUGCUUCCCACGAUCAUAUCA